rnacentral:sRNA from 1 species
CUCAAGCAAGAUCUGUUCUUGCCUGGCACAGUCGACACAAGUUUUGCCCAACCUGUGGAAAUGCAACUAAAAUUGAAGAAGGUGGCUAUAAGAGACUAUGUUUAAAAGAAGACUGUCCUAGUCUCAAUGGCGUCCAUAAUACCUCAUACCCAAGAGUUGAUCCAGUAGUAAUCAUGCAAGUUAUUCAUCCAGAUGGGACCAAAUGCCUUUUAGGCAGGCAGAAAAGAUUUCCCCCAGGCAUGUUUACUUGCCUUGCUGGAUUUAUUGAGCCUGGUAAGCCAUUUCUUAAUAAUUUAUAUUUAAUUUAUAAUUUCAAAGUACAAAGUUUAAGUAGCAUUUGAGAAAUAAUCUCUGAUAAAUUAUCAUGUUAUAAAACUCGGUUAUUUUAAGGUAUUUUAAAAAUGAUACAAUUUUAAUAAUAUAAACAUGUAAUUCUCAUGUUUUAUAUGAGAAUUAUAUAAAUUACUUUUCCUAGUAAUUUGGUCUGCUUUGUUAAAAAUUCAGUAUUUGC